rnacentral:lncRNA from 1 species
AUUGUACUUGUAACGCAGGUGAGCAUUUUUUAUUUGUUUUGUCUUGUCAAGAUUGUUUGAUUGUAAUAGUUACAGCUUGUUUGACGAUGUCGAAACCUUCAUGUAAGAUUAUCGCCAUUCAAAUGAAUGGCUAAUAAUGUUAUACAUGUUAUGUCUUAGGUCUUUGUUAUUCAUUUUUUACAAAUCUGAGAAACGAUUUCAGGGUGUCUGCUCUUCUGUAUGAAAAUAACGCGCCUUAUAAAAGACUGUUGUAAAUUGAUAGUCAAGAAAUAAUAGAAAUGAAAAAAAGUGAAAAAAAUUACAGGUUGGUAUUCUUGCAUAAUUUUGAGAAAUAAUCAGUUUAAAAUGGGUGGGGUUUUUUUUGUCGUUAUAUUGUUAACUAAUUUCCAAGUAUUGCCUUUUGCAUGAAAAUUAACUAAAUUAUUUGCACAAGAGUCCCAAGAUAUCAUUAUAAAAUAUAUUAAAGUUUUUAAAAAAGUAGCAUAUAGAAUAUAAUUGGAAGCAUCAUGUUUGAAAAACAUCCCAGAUAGAGCGUAGAUGUCCAUAGUUUGAUAAUUUGUAUGCAUUUACAUAUAUUUUAUAUUCUAGGUUCUAUUCUUUCACAUUUUUCACGCUUUGCUGUUUGCAUCCAAAAAAGCAUAUCGAAAACAAGUGUUUUAAUCAUUUAAAUGUAGUUUUAAAGAAAAACGACACAAAGCAUUGCUGACACAAAACGCUAAAAUUGAAUCUUUGUUCUUAAUAAAAGGACAUGUUUUUGCUUUUCUGUUUAAAUCUAAAAGCUUCCACGUAUGAAGUUAUUGCCUCAAAUAUGAUUGUAAAACAUGUAUAUUCUUGUUUUCCUUCAUAAAAUUUGUAUACCAAUUUUGAAACGAAAAUAUGUCAACCUUAAAGAGGAAGCUUUAGUUUGAAAAAAACACGAUUGAAUGGAUGUAUAUCAAAGUUAACAACUAAGAUGCAGUAUGUAUUAUGAAUUGUAGGUGCUUGGAAGAAGUUUACUGGAUGCAAGGUAUAGAUAUUUAUAGGCAUUUAAUCAAUUAUAUUGUAUAUCUCCUCUCAUUAAGUCCGGAUACAUUAAACUGUAAAAGGUUUGUGUUUGUUAAAAAAUAAAUUCAUCAUAGAUACCAGAAUUGUACAUGCACCAGACGGAUGUUUCGUCUACAAAAGUAUAAAAUGACGAUCGAAUCAAAAAAGGUUAAAACGCCAAAUAAAUUACGAAGUUCAGGAGCAUUGAGGACCCAAAAUUUCAAGUAUAUAGAUUAUAGUUUUAUAUUUGAUGUGAUAAUGGCGUACUAGAUUAUAAUCCUGGUACCUUUUUGAUAACUACUUUAUACUUACUUUACAGUUUACAUUGCAUCUGUUUUCUCUUAUUUGUAUGACUUUUGAUGUUAAGUGGUAUGUAUACAAAACUUUAAAACUGGUUUUAUAGCUAGCUACACCUAAACCUAUCCUCAAAAUAUAGAAAAAAGAAAAUGUAGUUUAAAUACUAUUGAGACAACUCUCCGCAGAGUCCAAAAAGAAAGUAUAAUAGGUCAAACUAUGGCUCCCAUCACGGAGCCUUGUUUGACAACGAACAGCAGGCAAUUGAGGGCCCAAACUUUUGUAGAAUAAUUCAAUACAAAUUACAAAGGAUCUAAUCUAUAUAUAUAAAAAAAACAAGAAGCGAAAAACACUAAUGAACAAAGCGCAAACGCUGAACAACCCAUAUAUGUCUUAUCGUAAACUGAUGACUGUAUAGAAGUGUUCAAUUUUCAUCAACUUUUUAUUAAUUGCCUUUCACUUUUUUUUAGCACAGAGAAACGUAGUUAUGGUAAUAUAUCUAUCAAAGAUUUUGUUUUCGAUAAAUGAAAAAGGUACAGGUAAAAUAGAAAGGCGGUGUCUCACAACUUGACUUAAAUUGUUUGGUUUGUUGAAUUUUAAAAAUGACAAAAUACUAACCUUAACCCUUUGACAAAAAAAUGACAAAUUCCGAGAAUAUAAACCACAUAAUAUACCGAAAAAACCUGAUGGAUAUAUACAUGUAUCAGUUAACUUUGAUCAAUUAGAAGCUAAAUAUUUCAUUAAUAAUAGAAUAUAAUUAAAACGCUCAACUGAUGUGUACAGAGUUACCUCCCUUGAGUUUUUUGUAACUAACUAAUUGUAAAAUAAAUAACAACACGUAACAACAACAAAUACAAUCAAUUAAAUAUUGAAUAAAAAUUAAAAUGAGACUUUAUCAUGUUUAUGUCAGUCAAGAUUCUUUAAAAAAAUCGUGUCUAGCACAUACUGCAUAUCUUGUCAUAAGAUGAAUAGCCAAUGUUUUAGAAUGUUUAAUAUUUUAGAGAUAUAUUAGAUUUAUUAUUGUUGCUAAUGCAUGAUGGAAUUUGGUAUAGAUCUUUGCCACAAAAAUGUUUAAAUACAAAAGAAAGGAGAAUUUAUCAAUAGAUUACACGAUUUGUAUGACAUCCGUUUAAGAAAAUUAAAUCUAAAAAACUGCAUUAAGAUUAUUAUAUUACGUUUUGAAUACAUAUUCUUUGAUUCUUCGUUCUGGUAUAGAAAAUAUAUUUAUUAGUUGGUUUCUUUUCUGUUUGUAGAAAACAAAAGAAACGCUAAAACCAUAACAGGUAAGGUUGACACGAUAGUUCUAUGUUGAUAUGCAUUCAUUGAAUUAUCCUUGCUUGGGUAUAUGAUGUAAACAUUCACAAAAUGAUCUUCUUAAAUAAAUGAAUAUUUAUGGAUGUUAUGUGACUUUUGAUUUGUUGACACUGUUUUGUUCAUCAGUUCAUAACAUAAUUUGAUCAUGUGACCGUUACGUAUACGUUAUCAACUCUAUUUUCAUGAUUUACACCGUCCUAAAAUGCAACUAAGAAAUAAAUUAAAAAGAAUGACUGUAAUAUGUUUUUAUCUAUUUGAAAAAGUAUAAAAAAUGUGGUGCACACUUUUAAAUAACCCGCUUCGCCAGUUCGUCGGUGUUCCCCACAUUUUUGAUGUUAUUUCUUCAUAGAAUGAACAAAUAUUACAAUCAUUCCUUAAAAAACAUUCUUGAUGUUGAUAACAAAGCUAUACAUAAUUUGAUGCCAUCAAUAAUUGUCGUACAAAUAAAAGAACCUCGUAUUAACGGUUUGAAUGUGCUGUGCAAUUUAACUUCUGUGUGCAUUUCAUUAUUUUCAACCAACUAAUUGUGUGCUAUAUAUAAAUGCUAGACAUCUAGAUUUUUUUCAGAAUUAAGAAAUCAUACUUAGGAGAUAACUGUAUUAUUUGUUUAGGCAACGGCAUUAAUUGGUGAUCUGAAAGUCGCGAAUUAAGUUAACUGGCGACGCGUUAGCGGAGCAAUUAAACGGGUAUUAGCGACCAUCACAUCACCAAUUGAUACCGUCGGAGCUAAACAUUCAAUCUUGUUUUCUCCAGGCUAAUAAAACUGUCAAAAAUAACGUCAUAUCAUACAUAUUUUAAAACCGAAAUGUGUCGUCUUCGUUUGCUAGUAUUAUUUAUUUAAUAAAUUGUGAGUUGAUGCCAUGAAAAGGGACGUUAUCCAAUCAAAUUAAAAGUAACAAACAAUGUUGCAUUAGAAUAUAUGAUAUUUUGCCUAUUACAUUAAUUAGUAUAUCCUUUUAGGAUCUUGUGGCAGAUGCUUUAUCGGGUGUCCAACCGGACAAGAAAUCCGUCAGUGUACAGCGGAUGAUUUCAAGAACAACCGUGUGAUUUGUGAAUGUACACCCAUAUCAGGUGAAAUAAUAUUUUUUAGUGAUUUUGUAUUUAAGCAGAAAAAUGAAUCCCGUGUCCCCAAAUUUAAUAUUUAAUUUUUUUAAAUAUUAAAGAGAAGAUGUGCUAUGAUUGCGAAUAAGCCAACUCUCCAAAAGAGACCAAAAUGACACAAAAAUUAACUAUAGAUCACCGUAUUGCCUUCAACAAAGUCCAUACCUCAUAGUCAACUAUAAAAGGCCUCGAAAUGACAAUGGUAAACAAUUUAAUCGAGAAAACUAACGGCCUUACUUAAAAAAAUGAACGAAAAACAAAUAUGUUAUACAUAAACAAACGACAACCACUGCUAUACAGGCUUCGGACUUAGGACAUAUACAUACAUAUGCAAACUUUUUAGCCGGAUCAUAACCAUUCUCUAACCUCAGACAGUGGUUUAACAGUACAACAUAAGAACUAAAUAUAAAAAUUAGUUGAAAAAGGCUUAACUCAUCAGAUGGACAUAGAUACAAGUGGACGUGGCCUGGUACUUGUACAUUCCUACAACAAAAGGAUACAGGGAACAGAAAAGCACAUUAUCAAAGUUUAUAUUUCUCUUACCAUCAUAUCUUAAAUUUUUCUGCUUUAUUGUUCGAAACUGAGUUUCCGAGGUAUAAUAUAUACAAAAUCUGAAACAUAUGCAUGACCUAAAACAUAAUGUUUUAAUGCAAACCUUGUCGGAAAACAUUUAUAAUAAGAUACAUGUAGGAUGGUCGCUACUCUGUUUACAACCCCAAAAAAAUAGCUAUUCAAAAAAUAUAUUAAUUGAUAGUAUAUCAUGUAUAUGUUAAGGGUUUUUCUGCAUCUUUUAAAAAUACAAGCCUUUGAAAACAUUCUCUUUUCAUAUAUCUACAAUUGUAUAUUUUUUUUCAUACACUUAAAAAGUUUUUAUCAUACUUUCAAAAUAUGGCAUUUUCAACUUUAUGUAUUAAUAUAUGAGACAAAACAAGGGUAAGUGGGCAGUACUUGUGAUUGGACUUUUAAGAUAAAUCCAAAUAUCUGCCGAUUAUUCAAAAACAAGAGAGAUGGACAUUCUUAAAGUAGAAAACAUUAAUUGGUGUUAUACUAAAACGUUUUAAAAAUAUGGUACCAAUAUGUCAUCAUUGUAUAAUAUAUGUCUUAUCAGUGAUGAUCGACGAUACAAUUUUGACAGUCAAACAACUUUCAGGAUCAGAGAGAUAUUCAUUCAUUACUAGAAAAUUAUUUUCAACAUUUUUCACACAUUUCAAUCAUACAGAAUCCGUAUGUUUAUGCUAAUACUGUUGUAAAGUACUUUACUUUCUUUUACUAUACAUAUUUUCGCAUAAUUGGUAAACGUCUUAACGUCGUUUACCGCCGUAAGAAUAUAUGUAUAAAGUAGUAGAUAUUGUUUACAGUGGUAGUUUCGACAACUAUCAGUCCAACAAACAUACAAUAUAUUUGCUGCAAAAACCUCCAUGUGAACGUUUAUAGAUUCAGUUAUUAUAUUUUCUUUUUCUUUUUUAAAUCUAAAUAUUCAUGAUCUCAUGUUAGUAAAGCAAAUUAGUUUUAGCGACUAUCGUUUGAAAAAAAUAAACGACUUUUAUUAUUUCUCUAAAUACUUUUCAAUGAAGUUUUGAUACUGUAUGGCAAGCAUUAUUUUAAAAUAUAUUUUCUGUGAUUUUUUGUAAUUAAACAUUUAAUUUAAAACGCAAGAGCCGCGUGGUAUCAUUACAUUUUGUUAAGUUGCUUAUCUCUGGUUUAAUAAUUCUUUGGACUAAUCACGAGUUUGCAAUAAUGCGAUUCUUCAUGUUGUUUACAUAGGUGCAUUACCUUUAUAAUUUUCUUUGGAAUAAUAUUUUAUGAUUGUGUUUGCAGGAAAUAAAAGAGGCGUAAUUUGAAACGAGG